UGCAUCGGCCGGAAAUCGAACCCGGGUCGCUCGCGUGGCAGGCGAGCAUUCUACCACUGAACCACCGAUGA
rnacentral:tRNA from 1 species